UACGGAGGGUGCAAGCGUUGCUCGGAAUUACUGGGCGUAAAGCGAACGCAGGCGGUUCAUUAAGUCGGGCGUGAAAGCCCCGGGCUCAACCUGGGAAUUGCUCCCGAUACUGGUGAACUUGAGUCUGAGAGAGGGAAGCGGAAUUCCUGGUGUAGAGGUGAAAUUCGUUGAUAUCAGGAGGAACACCGGCGGCGAAGGCGGCUUCCUGGCUCAGUACUGACGCUCAUGUUCGAAAGCGUGGGGAGCGAACAGG
rnacentral:rRNA from 1 species